CUACGGGUGGCAGCAGUGGGGAAUAUUGCACAAUGGGCGCAAGCCUGAUGCAGCCAUGCCGCGUGUAUGAAGAAGGCCUUCGGGUUGUAAAGUACUUUCAGCGGGGAGGAAGGGAGUAAAGUUAAUACCUUUGCUCAUUGACGUUACCCGCAGAAGAAGCACCGGCUAACUCCGUGCCAGCAGCCGCGGUAAUACGGAGGGUGCAAGCGUUAAUCGGAAUUACUGGGCGUAAAGCGCACGCAGGCGGUUUGUUAAGUCAGAUGUGAAAUCCCCGGGCUCAACCUGGGAACUGCAUCUGAUACUGGCAAGCUUGAGUCUCGGAGAGGGGGGUAGAAUUCCAGGUGUAGCGGUGAAAUGCGUAGAGAUCUGGAGGAAUACCGGUGGCGAAGGCGGCCCCCUGGACGAAGACUGACGCUCAGGUGCGAAAGCGUGGGGAGCAAACAGGAUUAGAUACCCUUGUACUC
rnacentral:rRNA from 1 species